rnacentral:lncRNA from 1 species
GCUAAAUGUCCCCACUCGUGGCUGGAAUUCACUCCAGUCACCGGAGCUGCUGUAGCUGGGAUUUCAUGGGAGUCCUCGAGGACUUUAACCCUUCCCUCUCCAAGCAGAGAUGGUGGAUCCCUAAAUCCUGCCCAGUCCUGGGCUCCGGGCUGAAUUCCAGCCCUCUGGAUGCUGUGAUUCCAUCCCAAGUCAUCAUUCAAGCGGUGCCUGGGGAUGUCGGGGCAGUCAAGAGCCAUGGAGCAAAUCCUGAGUGCCUUCUCCAGCUCGGGGACCAUCAGGAGCUCCUCACCUGCCCUCAGCCCCUCCAAGCUCAGAAUUCCUUGGACUCUGC